rnacentral:sRNA from 1 species
CCAAAUAAUUAGAUUUAAGUUUCUGGCCCAAUUUUAUUCAGUUCUUCUUUUUAGCCAAGAUUUGUAGGCAUUAGCCCAAACACCUACCCAACGUUGUCUUGUAUUUUGCUAAAGCCCGAGUCUUAAACCGAGUUAGAGCACUCGGCGAGUUGUUGCUUCUUUCAUCAGCAAUCCGCGUCAGUCGGAAGUGACCCAGAUGUUUGUUCUCACUUUGAUACUGGGCUGUAAUUUUCGGGACAAUUUCAUGGAAGUGUUCACUUGGAGUAUACUGAAUGUUUCCUGUGUACUCUCCAUGGCCCGAUCACGGAAUGCAAUUGUUGCUACUGGCUUGGUAAUUUUCGCAGCUGCAGGCUUGGCAUUUCCCUUUUACAUGGCGUCAUCGCCAAAGCCUGUCAUUGACCCAUCAAAGCCACUAUCACCCCAGGCAACAUUUCGAGGGCCUUAUAUAAACACUGGUUCUCGUGACGUUGGACCUGACUAUCAGACCUACCCGAAGAAGUGACCAUCAUGAUGAAAGGACUUGUCUGUAUUUUGGACCAAGAAGGUCUCUCUUGAUCUACAAAUCUAGAUGACAUAUAGAGAUCUAAGAUUCUUCUCGUGUUCACUUUGAAUGGAAAGAAUAAGCGUAAGAGUUUAAAAUCCAGUCCACCGGACAUGUAUGCUUUAAUUUCGUUGUAAACUAAUAUUACUAGCAUUAUUAUUAUUUUUUGUUUCUUUUCUUUUUUCACUGUAAGCCUCAUAACCUAAUUUCAGAUUCAUGAAGGAAAAUCAUAAAAGUUCAAAGAGAAGUAGUAUACUUUCUUUAAUUGGGUGUAAAUUUAUGUGGAAUGCUA